AACCACCGUAAUUGUAACUGAGGC
rnacentral:piRNA from 1 species